UCGAGAAUCAUUGUCAAUGCACGAAAGUGUGAACAUGCGACGCCGCGUGGAGGAUGAAGGCCUUCGGGUUGUAAACUCCUGUCAGGAGGGAACAAGUGCUCGUGUGCUAAUACCACACGGGUUUGAUGGUACCUCCAAAGGAAGCCACGGCUAACUCUGUGCCAGCAGCCGCGGUAACACAGAGGUGGCGAGCGUUGUUCGGAUUUACUGGGCGUAAAGGGUGCGUAGGCGGCCCUGUAUGUCGGAUGUGAAAGCCCACGGCUCAACCGUGGAACGGCAUCCGAAACUGCAGAGCUAGAGUACUGGAGAGGUGAGCGGAAUUCUCGGUGUAGCGGUGAAAUGCGUAGAUA
rnacentral:rRNA from 1 species